rnacentral:rRNA from 1 species
GUGCCAGCCGCCGCGGUAAUACGUAGGUGGCAAGCGUUGUCCGGAAUUAUUGGGCGUAAAGCGCGCGCAGGCGGUCCUUUAAGUCUGAUGUGAAAUCUUGCGGCUCAACCGCAAGCGGCCAUUGGAAACUGGGGGACUUGAGUGCAGGAGAGGGAAGUGGAAUUCCACGUGUAGCGGUGAAAUGCGUAGAGAUGUGGAGGAACACCAGUGGCGAAGGCGGCUUCCUGGCCUGUAACUGACGCUGAGGCGCGAAAGCGUGGGGAGCAAACAGGAUUAGAAACCCCAGUAGUCC